rnacentral:lncRNA from 1 species
UCUCUCUUGAGGAAAAUACUGCAUACUGAAACUGUCCAUGACAGGCAGUGUACCAGAGCCUGGGGUAAUUUCUCCAGCAGCUAACUAUCCAUAAAAUUGUGCCAGAUGCAUCCUCAGGUUCUCCAUCAGCCAGUAGAGCCAAGAGAAGGGGCAGCCCAGAGGGGAAACCACUGACUGCUGCAAAUAAGCCAUAUGAAAUGCCUCUGUACCAUCUAAUAUCAUGGCAAAUGCAGCCAAAGGCUAGAAAUGACAUUUAUGUGAGAUUUCCAGCACAUGACUGCUGGAGUAGAAUAGCUGGGGUUGCUGGUGUUAUUGGAAUGACCUGAGUCUGGCCAUAGCUAAACUGUAGCAACCCAGUUCCAGCAAAGGGAGGAGUAAGGCUCAUAAAUCUUUUUUCAGAAGUCGCUUUUUGAAAGACAGGAGUGAUGCAAGUAUAAAAAAUAACUCAAAGACAAUAUCUUGUGAGGGAAAAUAAAAAGAGAUGCAUCAUAAAUAACCUUGAUGAAAUGCAAGGACCGUUAUCCUGAGUCUGAUUCCAACUGGAAGUGAGUCAAAAUAGUUUGACAAAGUGCAGCUGCAUCUCUCAGUUCAGAGAUGUCCUGUCAGAUUUGUGGCCCAAUGUAUGUCCAGGCAUGCCUCUCCAGGAUGAUGCUUUGAGGAUG